CGCCUUUUGAAAUAUAAGUAUAAAAGGUCCUGCCUGCCCAAUGACUUGUUUUAAUGGCCGCGGUAUAAUGACCGUGCAAAGGUAGCGUAAUCAUUUGUCUCCUAAAUAGGGACCAGUAUGAAUGGCAAAACGAAAGCCUUACUGUCUCUCCAGCCCAGUCAAUGAAAUUGAUCUUCCCGUGCAGAAGCGGGAAUAGAAAUAUAAGACGAGAAGACCCUGUGGAGCUUUAAACUCAAGUUUUAGGUUGGGGCGACCAUGAGGUAUAACAUAACCCUCACGAUAAUAAAUAGAAGGACACUUCAAAUUUGACCCAAUAAUUGAUCAACGAACCAAGUUACCCCAGGGAUAACAGCGCAAUCCGCUCAAAGAGUCCAUAUCGACGAGCAGGUUUACGACCUCGAUGUUGGAUCAGGACCCCCAAAUAACGCAACAGCUAUUAAAGGUUCGUUUGUUCAACGAUUAAAGUCCU
rnacentral:rRNA from 1 species